AAGGGUGCAGCCAUAGCUUCCCUCCCUGUGGAGUGUGGACGAGUUGAUUGAGAACGCUGAUGGAUUUGCUGGAGUAUUUCCUGAACACAAAUAUGAAAUUGUAAAGAGGCUGCAAGAGAGGAAGCACAUCUGUGGAAUGACUGGAGAUGGUGUCAAUGACG